UACGGGGGGAGCAAGCGUUGUUCGGAUUUACUGGGCGUAAAGGGCGCGUAGGCGGCCACUGCAAGUCAGUUGUGAAAUCUCCGGGCUUAACCCGGAAAGGUCAACUGAUACUGCAGGGCUAGAGUGCAGAAGGGGCAACUGGAAUUCUCGGUGUAGCGGUGAAAUGCGUAGAUAUCGAGAGGGACACCUGCGGCGAAGGCGGGUUGCUGGGCUGACACUGACGCUGAGGCGCGAAAGCCAGGGGAGCGAACGGG
rnacentral:rRNA from 1 species